rnacentral:rRNA from 1 species
UACGUAGGGGGCGAGCGUUGUUCGGAAUUACUGGGCGUAAAGCGCGCGUAGGCGGGAUGGCAAGUCGGGUGUGAAAGCCCUCGGCUCAACCGAGGAAGUGCACUCGAAACUGCCGUUCUUGAGUGUCGGAGAGGGUGGCGGAAUUCCCGGUGUAGAGGUGAAAUUCGUAGAUAUCGGGAGGAACACCAGUGGCGAAGGCGGCCACCUGGCCGACAACUGACGCUGAGGCGCGAAAGCGUGGGGAGCAAACCGG